rnacentral:rRNA from 1 species
UACGAAGGUGGCAAGCGUUGUUCGGAUUUACUGGGCGUACAGGGAGCGUAGGCGGUUGGAUAAGCCCUCCGUGAAAUCUCCAGGCUUAACCUGGAAAGUGCAGAGGGGACUGUUCAGCUAGAGGAUGGGAGAGGAGCGCGGAAUUCCCGGUGUAGCGGUGAAAUGCGUAGAGAUCGGGAGGAAGGCCGGUGGCGAAGGCGGCGCUCUGGAACAUUCUGACGCUGAGGCUCGAAAGCGUGGGAGCAAACAGG